rnacentral:rRNA from 1 species
AGAGUUUGAUCCUGGCUCAGAACGAACGCUGGCGGCGUGGAUAAGACAUGCAAGUCGAACGAGACUUUUCGUUGUAGCAAUACGAUGGAAAGUUUAGUGGCGAACGGGUGCUUAACACGUGGGCAACCUGCCAUGAAGUGGGGGAUAGCUCGCCGAAAGGCGAAUUAAUACCGCAUGUGAUUAGAAAGGACAUCCUUUCAAAAUUAAAGUCGGGGCAACCUGACGCUUCUUGUGGGGCCCGCGGCCUAUCAGCUAGUUGGUGAGGUAACGGCUCACCAAGGCUUUGACGGGUAGCUGGUCUGAGAGGACGACCAGCCACACUGGGACUGAGACACGGCCCAGACACCUACGGGUGGCAGCAGUCGAGAAUUUUUGACAAUGGGGGAAACCCUGAUCGAGCGACGCCGCGUGGAGGAUGAAGGUCUUCGGAUUGUAAACUCCUGUCAUUUGGGAACAAGGUGCACACGUUAACUGCGUGCGUA